rnacentral:lncRNA from 1 species
AGGCCCUGUACACACAAUAUUGCCUGUGAGUCUCAGACAUGUGCACUGCAGAGCUGGAAUCCAGACUGGCUGUCUGCCCUCUUAUCCACCACCCUCAGGAGGAAGGCGCUAUCUUUCCCUCCACCUUAUAAGAGGGCCAGCUCACAGCAUGUGUUUUCUGCAGGCUGGACAGGCCGGGGAGGAGGGUUUCCACAUCAGCUUGUGGACUGCUGUUCCUGGCUGACGGUGGGCUGCCCCUUCCUAUGCACAAAGUAUUUCAGAACUCCACGAAGCCAGGAACGGUAGGGCAGAGCCCCACCACAUAGACGGAUUGUUGAUGUUGUUGAAGAAGCCCCUCUGGCCCUGGCUUUGCCCUGGUUGUGGAGGCAGCGGGUGGGGCCUGGGGAGACCGCCCCUCCUGAGCCCGCUCCGUGACCUUGUGCUUCUCCUCUGGCUGGUAAUCAUCUCAUCCUGGCAGUUCCCCUUCCUGGAAAGCCCGCUCACGUCAUUCAAAGCGGGGGCUCUGUGGCUCCUUUAUUGCAAGUAUCUGGGACCAGGACUUGAGGGGUGCAGGGGGAGGCCAAGGCAGGAUGGUAGAGCUGUCGAAGGCACCAGGCGGGUUCACUGGCCUUGGCUUUGAGCCUCUGCUCCCCGUCCUCGAAGGGCUCUGCGCAGCCCUGUGCAUCUGUGAGGAGGUGCUGACCCUGUUCCACCCUCAGGAGUGCUCCGAUGAUUAAAACGCGCCUUCUGGACUCAUGUAGCAGGGGCUCCGCCUACUGGGGAUGCCCCAGUGCCAAAGCACAUAUGACGAGGGGAACUCAGAUGGAUUAAGGAAAGGGCGGGUCCAAAGUUAAAGAACAUGG